UUGGUCCAGGGACCAUGCAGAAUUGCCAGCCGCAUCACCGAGCUGUUCAUCUGAAAGGUAACACAGAGAAAAAAUCAUAAGCAGUCAGUUCAGCAACUAAUCUGUCUGUCAGUUGUAGUGAUAAAACCGCUUGUGGGGCUGAACAGGGAACCUUUUUUUUUGCUAAGUGACUUUGCAGUGCCUGUACCCGUGGAAUGAGGGAAAGUAAAGGGACUGAAACCAGCACCAAGGUGUAAGAUGGGAGCACUGCUGCUUCUUUGGGCAGAAGUACCAGAUUUGUGGCAGGGUCUGUGAGUUUUUGGGCUAACCCUGAGAAGCCUGAGAACGAACUUUGCUUUCAGUAUAUCAGAACACCAUGCUCAAGUCAGAGGAAAGGUUUUUUUUGCUUCCUUCAGUGUAGUGUCUCCUGUGAAACUGAUUCUCACAGAUCAAGAAAAGCAUAGCAUUUUUAAAACAAAACAUUUGUUAACUAAGGAUUUCCUGGAUUUUUCUGCUUUCUUAUUUACACUGUGAUCUGGAUACUGUGAAACCACUGUUUAACUUCCAGUAUUAUUUAUGGAAGCCAGGCUGUUGCUGUUUCCAGCCCUUACAGAGAACUUUCAGUUUGCAGUUUCAGUACCAGGUGCACAACCCCGGCUUAAAUUAAUCAGCUGAGAAGUAACACACUGUAAGUACGCAACCCUCUGGCGCCCUGGCUGAAGCUCCACAGGUAGGACCUUUUCUGCAGGCUGUAAGCUACCUCAGUAGUUGGGGUCCCAAAUCCUGAAAGCUCCACGUCAGUGACAUCAGAACUUGGGAUUCUCCAACCUUUUCAGUAGGUACAAGUUUGGGAGCAUUCCUGUUGUGCACAGAGAGAAAUCUGGAGUUUUAUCAGCAGACUUCAUGCCUAAGCACAGAAACAGAUUUUAGGAAACGAACAAUUUUUAUGAGGCUUUGCAUGUUACAACUACUGAUCAAAACUCUACAGUUCACAAUAGAAGGAAAUGGGCAAGGAAAAAUGAUUUAAGCAAACUGGAUCCAGUUUCUGUGCAGUCAGUGUGACUAUUCUGACUUAAAACCAUGGUGAAAACAUCAGUUUGAAGUGUGACUCCCCCAGCACAUGGGCCCUGGGCUUGCAUGCUGCAGCAUUAUGUGCUACCAUUCACAGCUGCAUAAACUAAGUGCAAAGUAGUUUGAAAUUGUUAGAAAAACAGAAAUCAAGAUUUUUAAUUAUUUUGCAUGAAUAAAAAUGACCACGUACAAGACAGUACAGAACCAGGUCAAUGAAGCUCACGUGACUGCUAUCUAAGCAAGGUUGUUAAUGAUUGCACAAUAGGGAGCUGUAACGAAUACAAGAGGAUGAGAGAGAGCAACAAUAAGUAACUUAUUGCAAACUCUGCUCAGGUGCUCCUUUACCUUACAGUUCUCCUGUCCGACACCUGCAGCUUUCUGUCACCUGGCAGAAGACCUGGCAUCAUUGCAUGAACUUCACCAUCACACCAACAGCAGUUACAGCCACCAGAAGUCUUCUAGGACAACAGAUAAAGGUUACAGCAUGCUGAGGACCUAAGUGGAUGUCAGUAGGAUGGAAUACCAUUGUUUUCAAAUGCUUUUUUGGAAACCAGGGGAAACACAUCCUCAAAGUCUUCGUUUAAAAGUAUUAAGACUACAAAAUCAAACACUUGCUGAAAUUAGAAAAUGCUGGGUUAGAAAAAGAAGCCCGGAAUCACGUAAUUAAAGAUUACUUUAGGGUACAUGCUUGGAAAGGCAACCUUUCUUCUGGCAUUUUCUAGCUUCAGUGUGCAGCAAAUUAUUCAUAUUUUGGCAAAGAUGUUGGAUAUGUAAAAUGUAUAUAUUAUAUAUAGAACCGUAUUUAUCUCUGGUAUAUUUUUGUCUCAUAAAUGCAGUUUCCUGUUUCCAUGUUAGAAAUUACAACAUUAACAUAUUCAGAUGCCAGUUGCUGGAUUUAUUUGCUUCUUGAUAAUCCAAAUGCUGAGCCUGGAUGUGCUCUGCCUCUCCAUACUUCAGUCUUAUCUAGCACUUUUUCUAAGCCACCCAGAUAAAUUAUCUCAGUGUCCUGAGGUAAAGUGAUUCUCUUGUCCAGGGUGUCUGGAUUGCUCCACUAUUUUUUUUUGCCACACAAGCAUAAGGUCUAGCGUUAAGACCGAUGAACAGAAGUUUUCUAUAUUUCACUAAUUUAAUUUUUAAAAAAAUGUGCAAUGCUGUACCAAGAAUUUUGAAAUAAAAGAAUUGGCUUUAAAAAUACUGCUUUAGCAGGAAUGUGGCCAAUUUAUUUCAGUGUGCAACAAUCCACAUAAAUAAAAAGCAACAUAUGAAUCUGAAAAUAAUCUUCCUGUAGAAUGAGAAAAGCGGAAAAAAGAAUAGAGAAGGAGACCCGCUAAUUCAUCUUCUUUCAAAUCAUGUAAGAAUGAAACAUUCAUUUGCACUUGAACAGAUUUAGUUCUCCAGAAGGAAGCAAAAACAGUUUCCCAUGAUUUUUUCCCUGAAAAUUUUGUAAAAAUCCUUUGAGUUACUAAGUUAAUAUAGAAGCAAAAGGAACAUAUUUAACUUUUAUGGCAUUCAAAUUCUGAAUCACACACCUCACUAAAAGAUAUAUUUUCAUUCAUGUCCUCUUUCUGUAAUAUGGAUGUUCUGCAAAAGCAGCAAAACACUGCUCUUUGUUGCUCUGUUAACUGUUCAGUAUCUCAAAGCGCUUUAAGUGGAAGUAAGUUUCGCAAUGUAUUGUGCAGACACUUCAGUUUCAUUUAGCAAACUGAGGCACUGCUAAAUCUGAGAGCAGAGUGCAGUGCCUUCAGUAACCCAUCUGCACGCCCAUUCCUUAGCCUUCCUCCUUCUUUCCAGCAUAUGCACACUUCCAGAAAAUAAAAGGCAGGCAAUGCACUUUGCAUCCUCUGGCCUGGUUAGGGAACUAACAGGACACAGACCCCAGAAAACAUACAUGCAAGAUGCAGGACACUGAACUUGUUAGUUUCAGGAAACCCUGAUUGCCUCCAUUCAGAGGUUAAUGAAAGAUAAUUGUGUACAUUUGCUGUUUGUUACUCAAAUAUCACUUCCUUAUGACAAUACGUGUUACCUAAUCUGCAAAGGUCAAUGAAUUACUCUUUAGUUCCUUCCAAAUGCCUGUGCAAUGAACUUUGCCAUUUCUAAUACAGACCUCUCAGUAAAGAACUGGUGGUGCAGGUUUGAGGCUUAGAGCACCUCUCAACCUGAAAGCACCUUUGAUGCCGAUGUACUUCUAGCACUAACCAUAGACCUUUGUAACUCUCAGACCCAAGCAGAGACUUCCCUGUAGAGCUGAUUCAGAAUUUGCACAGAAUCCAGCACACACUAAGCACAUAAGGAGUGUAGUUACGGGUUUUUUUUUGAAUCCUCAUGUGAUAUAAAUAUGAUUACCCAAUGUAUUGGUCCUCAAACACACGUGGAAGGAGAUUUCGGAACACUGAGAUGCACUAUCAUCUGAAGUGUGAUAAUAGGUAAUAGCUUGGGUGAACAACUUACUCCGCAUUGUCAAUUGGAUCACUUGAAAAAAAAAAAAGAGGAGCAAACAUGGAAAAAUUGCAGAUCCACAGCUGGUCAAAACUGCAUAAACACACAGAGGCUGGUACCACUGAAAUCAGUCCUAACGCUGCACAGAGCUGCUGAUUUUUCACCCCCUGUGGGGCUCCACUAAAAUCAGACAUGUUUGUAGGGAUCCUCAGCACAGCUUACGGGUUGGGGGCUGUGUUCUGAACCGGUGUGGAUAGUUUGAAUAGCACCAGAAAUCUCCAUGUAAAACCAGGACAGCAGGGUUUAACUUAGCAGGUAGUGGAAUGCACAAGCAUAGCACAGAGACAAGGCUGGGGAAUUAGGCUGCUGGCAAGGAGCAGCUGAAAGCUGAUUGAACACAACAGAUUGGGCUUUCAGUACUGGACAGAUAGGCAGCAGCUAUUUAAAUGGAGCAUUAACAGUUUUGCUCUUAAUUAUUUCCAAACCUUCCAGCUAAUGCAAACUCAGUAUGACAUGUAUCCUGGCCUCAUUUACUUGCUGUUUCUGUAGGAAUCCAGUUAAAGGAGAGUUGAAUGGCUUGUUGAGAAUUUCUGUUUAAAAUCAUUCUCCUGUAACUGCUUGGCUUCUUUCUUCAAGCAGCUCUCAUGUAAGUAAUCAAAUAUAUACCUCACAAAAAUGCUUACUUUCUCCGUUUGAAUUAGGAUUUCUUUCUGAAAUGACGCUGCCCUGCAAGGCAAGGAAUGGUCGUCAUUCUGAGCCGGCAGCAGGUGGAAGGCCAGUAAACUCCAGAGCAAAAGAGAAACUUUAUACCUUCACAAAAGGGAGAUUCCUGUCCUCACAGUUGUGGAUCAUUUGCUUUUUGGUCUGGGAUGACCUGAGAUCGUGGCAUUUCUAUGUAUAGCACAGCUUCUUCUGGAAGUUUUAAAAAGUGUAUUAGUCAUAAGUUUUAUCUCAGAUAAUUGUUCAAUUAGACUUGUGAAAGCCACAAGGGCUGGUUUAUAUCUCAAAGCACAAAGCUAAAUAACCUCAUAAACCUUUACUAAUAAAAACGUCAAAUUCAACUCAAACAUCCCUGAAAUAAGAGAAUGACCUUCCAGAAUCAUGUUCCAGCAAACUGUUCUAAUGCAAUUACUUCCAAAAAUGAGCGCUUUGAGCCUUGUUUUCAGACUUGUAUUUUCUAUACAUCCUCUGAUAUACUAUCUGCCAACAAAGAUUGGAAACCCUCAUCAGUACUAAUGUAGUAUGGAUCCAGGGUAGGUAUACAACAGCACUUGUGACAACAAAAUGGAAUGGAACAGAACAGCAUAGAAGUAGAAUAGCUCAGUUGGAAGGGAUCUUCAUAGCUCUUGUAGUCCAACUGCCUUCAGGGCUAACCGAAAGUUAAACCAUAUCAAAGAGGGCAUUAUCCAAAGGUCUCUUUAACACUGACAGGCAUGGGGCAUCACCCACCUCUCUAGGAGGCCUCUUCCCAGCCUUGCCCACCCUCCUGGCAUAGAAAUUUUUCCUAAUAUGCAGUCUGAACCUCCCCUGGCACAGCUCUGUGCCAUUCCCAUGUGUCCUGUCCUCAGUUAGCAGGGAGGAGAUCGGUGCUUCCCUCGCCAUUUCCCCUCCUGAGGAAGUUGUAGAGCAAUGAGGUCACCUCUCAGCCUCCUCUCCUCCAGACCAGGCAACCCAGGCAUCCUCAGCCUCUCCUCACAGGACAUUACCAGCUUUGUUGCCCUCCUCUGGUCACGUUCAAGGACCUUAACAUCCUUGCGGAGACCAGAACUGCAUGCAGUAUUCAAGGUGAGGCUGCACCAACACUAAAUACAGUGGGAGGAUCACCUCUUUUGACCAGCAGGCUAUGUUGUGUUUAAUGCAGCCUAAAGUGCAGCUUGCCUUUUUGAUAAUCUGUCAUAAUGACCUAUCAUAAAGACUGCUGACUGGCACAAAUCCAGCCCAUCAGAAAUCUGUCACCGUGAAUUUACAGCCUGAGAUCUGUAUAUUCCUUUCAUUAAAAAAAUAUGCAACGUCUGCUUUUUAGUUCAUCGUACUCAGGAAAGGAAGAACGUCCUCUCACCGAAAUGAAGUGAGAAUGAAUUUAACUGAGCCUCUUUCCUAAUCAGAGUAAUUGAAUUCAUUCUUCUUUGAGCCAAAAUGGCAAAAAAAUAAACUACUGGUACUGCCUCAGUUUACCGUGGUGAUGAGGUAUCUGUUCUGAAUGACUGAGAAAUUCAGAAUGAAUGAAAAUGCUCAGAAAAAGAAACAGAGCACAAUCUCACACGUGUCACCCAGGAUCAAACAAAAGGAUUAUCUGGAAAGUCACAGUUUCAGGUGGCAACCACAGCUUUACAUAAAAAGUGCAAAUGUAAAGGGGAUGAGUGUUUCCAUCAGAAAGCUGGACAUGGCACUUAGCAGCAGUUGCAAUCAGUAGCCUAUAUUCUUAGCCACAUGGAAAGAUAGAGGUUUUUCUCAUCAGCCAAGAUGUCUGGAGAAAGAAGAAACAGAACCAAUAGGAGCUAAUGGCUCUAGCACUUCUUAUUCAGCACAAAAAUGAUUGCGAAAUGCCCACUUCUAGUAUUUUGAGGCCUUAACAGGUGUCACGAUGUAGCACAACCCUGAAUUUGUCUCAACAUACAAGAAUGCGGACCACGACUCUGUGUUUCCUUAGGGAUGGUGAGCAUCCACCUGGCUUUGACAGAAUGCCUGCGGAAUUACCACAACUCAGUGAGUGUGGACAUUUUGAAAAAAGUCCUUAAAGGUGUUGCCUUUAAAGGUCAGUCUAAAGCAGUAGAGACCUUCCAGCUUUGCAGAGCAGCAUAAAGAUCUGCACAGCAAAUAUGAAUUAGCAGAUCUGCUCAUCCCUUCCUACAGCUGUCAUAAACAGGCGCUAUAGGCACACAAGCCAGAAACAAUUCAUGUCUUUAUCACUCUCAACGAGAUUUUCAUUUGUCUUUCUGCUUGGUCUUUUCUGACACAUUUGAACUGUGAAAACUCUUAAAUGUGAAACGGUAAUCAAGUUCACACUCGGGAAUGGUACAUGAACUCAACACACUGCCCCAAGGCUUAGGCCUGAAGGAAUUUCAGCUGUGCGGAGAUCCGAUGGAAUAAAUGAAGACAGAAAUACAAGGCACAUGCUGACAUCGCUAACUAUGAGAACAGGCAGGCAUUAUGGGACUGAUAAAAAUAGGAUGGGGGUAGAGGUGCAUGCAAACCAACAUGGCUUGCAACGACAGUGACUCACAUUCCUUUUGCACAUUGUUCUAGCUGCCAUGUCCUCCCCAGAUGAAGGCAACACCACCCAGCACAGCUGAGCCCAUGUGGGACAGCAACAAGGCUUGCUCUGUUCUCAGCGGCUGCUGCAGAAGUUCUGCCACACCUAAAUUAUUCCUGGAGUACUUGGUCCUCCUCCUCCACUUUCUGCAUGGCUGAUUGAAGCUGCAACCUGGCCCUAAUUUUGCAGCUAGUCUCAACAAGUACAGUUAACAGCCCAAAGCAUUCCUGGCAUCCUGGAGCAGACAUGAGCAAGUCUUUUAGUAGCUGAUACCCAAAAGAGACAGAAUAUAUUUUCCAAUUAUGGAUUUUGGAUAAAAGUUAGGAGUUACGAACUCCAGCUAGACAGUUUGUACUGUACCUUCCAAUUCAGCUACGGAUGUGAAAGAUUCUUGAAUUUGCAGUCAGAACAAGAUGGAGAACGUAAAGCUAUCUCCACAUGCUGGAAAUACUUGUCUCCUGGAAGCUUUCAUCGGGCUUGGACAGCUUAGGCGUGCUGAGGUGCCUUCCUUCUGAUUGGGGUCAAGAUAACCAUAUUCUUUAAGAGACAAGACAAAUUUCUUAGGAAACUUUGUGAAUCCCUAGAUACCAAAAGAUGGGAAGUAAGACUGUCUUCAGGUCACACUUUUAAGUUUAUAUGAUAUCAAUUGAUGCCAAAAUUAUCAUGUGCUGAUUCUGCUGCAGCAUCUGCAUGGACUAUUUGUAGUUCAUUCUGCGCUAUGUUGUGUAGGCCAAGCACUGUGUCUGCAAAUAUUCUUCAAAUUUUCAGCUGACAAAUGAUCUUUAAGGAUUUGAAAGGUAUCACUUGUGUAGAAAUCCUCAGUGAUCAGCUAGCAUCAAUCUUGCACAUCUAUGGAAAGGCAGGGAAACAAUCCUAAAGGAAAUGUAGAUCUUUAUCGUGCUCUGGAAGAGGAAGUCCUAGAGCAGUCUUUGAUUCAGCCAUUCUUCUCCUGAUGUUCACUGAGCUGUAACAGCACCCAGAGUCAGAAAAAACACAGGCAGAGAACUGUACUUUCAGGUUCUUUCCACAUUUUAUGUAGGGUCUGUGUUCAAAAGAUGCAAAAGAAUGGGAAGGAUCAAGUCUUCUGUUCUCAAUGGAAGAGACAGAAACAAAGGAAGUGGAGUUGUCAAGCUGUAGCUGGACUACUGAAUCCUAGAGAAUGCCAAGAGUUCACCAGGAUUUGGUAGAAUGCAAACUCUACUCUCCUAGCCACAUUUCUGCCUGCGAACAAGUUGAAAGGACACCAUAUCUACUUUUUUUUACAUACUCUGCCAAGUUCUAAUUGCACAUGCCAUUGUUUUGGUAUGCUUAAAUAAUUUUCCGUAAGCCUUUUUGGAGGCAGGCACAAAAAGGAAAACAAUAAUGACAUAAAAAAUAUGUAACAAAGGGAAAUAAUUAUGAAAUAAGACCUUUUUUUUUUUUUUUUCCUAAUACCAGUUUGUUUUGAAAAUUGUUACUGAUACUUAAUUAUAUUGCUUUUUCUAUAACAUUUACAAAUAAUACUUCAAAGUAGUAAGAAAACGAAGUGCAUGACUUUCAAGUGCUUUACAGGGGUUCUUGUAUACAAAGUCUAGUAAAAUGUGUUUGUGGGGAAAAAUGUUGGUGUGAUAAAUGUAUUUUUACAUAAUGUUACAUAUACUGUAAGCUGUGUUAGUAUGGUAGAAGAUUGGAAGCUACCCAGGCAUACCAUACUGCCAGUCAGUGAAAUAUAUUAAUUGAAGUAGCUGGGCUUACUGUGUAUAUAUCCAUUUGGGAAAUUACAUGUCCCUUAACGUUGCACAUGCACAUACUAUGGGGACUGACACUGAGUCUAUCAUUUGGAGGUGCUUGAUGACAGAGGUACAUAUGCACUUGUGUGUUGGAAAACUGAAAACUUAGGUGUGGCUUAGUUGGGCCUGUGACAGGCAUUCAUCAGUUGUUCUGUUGGCACUGUGUGCUUUUUUUCUAGGACAUUGUUUUGUAAGAAUAUGAAUUUCAGAUGCAUGUGUACCCUCUGAUUUCAGUUAUGUUUUGGGAUGAUGGAAUCAUGUAUUCAUAGAGCACCACGAAAAAUAGCAA